AAUGAACGUUGGCGGCGUGGAUUAGGCAUGCGAGUCGCGCGAGAAUGUAGCAAUACAGGACAGCGGCGAAAGGGAGAGGACAACACGGGAAUCUGCCUUGGGGACGAGGAUAGCGUCGGGAAACUGACAGUAAUACUCGAUAAUGUUUGCGGACCAAAGGUGUGACUCCGCCCCAAGAUGAGCCCGUGCCCCAUUAGCUAGUUGGCAGGGUAAUGGCCUACCAAGGCUGUGAUGGGUAGCUGGUGUGAGAGCACGACCAGCCUCACUGGCACUGAGACACGGCCCAGACUCCUACGGGAGGCAGCAGUGGGGAAUAUUGCACAAAGGGCGCAAGCCUGAUCCAGCAAUGCCGCGUGGGUGAAGAAGGUCUUCGGAUUGUAAAGCCCUUUCGGCGGGGACGAUGAUGACGGUACCCGCAGAAGAAGCCCCGGCUAACUUCGUGCCAGCAGCCGCCGUAA
rnacentral:rRNA from 1 species